GGCCUUUUGAUUAUAAUUUAAGGUCUAAUCUGCCCCCUGAAAUUUAAAUGGCCGCAGUAUAUUGACUGUGCAAAGGUAGCAUAAUAAUUAGUUUUUUAAUUGAAAGCUGGAAUGAAUGAUUGAAUGAGAAAAAAGCUGUCUUCAAUAUUAAUUUUUUAUAAUUUUAUUUUUAAGUUAAAAAGCUUAAAUAUUUUUAAAAGACGAGAAGACCCUAUAGAGUUUAAUAAAAUAUAAUUAUUAAAAAAUUUAAAGAAUUUUAAUUUUAAAAUUUUUAUUUUUAUUUUGUUGGGGUGAUUGUAAAAUUAAAUUAACUUUUAUUAUAUUUUUACAAAAAUUAUUGAAUUGUUGAUCCUAAAGUUUAGAUUAAAAGAUUAAAUUACCUUAGGGAUAACAGCGUAAUUUUUUUUUAGAGUUCUAAUCGAAAAAAAAGGUUGCGACCUCGAUGUUGGAUUAAAAUUAAGAAUUGGUGAAGAAGCUAAUUUUUUAGGUCUGUUCGACCUUUAAAUUUUUACA
rnacentral:rRNA from 1 species